UGAGAGGUACCAUCAACGGCAAUGCAUUCGGCUGUAACCCGAAAGUCGUGGUUUACACGUGGGGGUUCGACUCCUCCCCUCGCAACCA
rnacentral:tRNA from 1 species